GUGCAGGAAAAGUUACAUCACAGCUGCUCAGUGCUGGAGAUGUCGUUCCCCCUGCAAAAAGGAACAUGUUUCAUACUAUCCCUGGCAGUCCAAUACCCUGCUGGCUGACAGGGACGCUUGGUCACAUACAA